GACGAACGCUGGCGGCGUGCUUAACACAUGCAAGUCGAACGGAAAGGCCCUUCGGGGUACUCGAGUGGCGAACGGGUGAGUAACACGUGGGUGAUCUGCCCUGCACUUUGGGAUAAGCCUGGGAAACUGGGUCUAAUACCGAAUAGGACCACGCGCUUCAUGGUGUGUGGUGGAAAGCUUUUGCGGUGUGGGAUGGGCCCGCGGCCUAUCAGCUUGUUGGUGGGGUAAUGGCCUACCAAGGCGACGACGGGUAGCCGGCCUGAGAGGGUGACCGGCCACACUGGGACUGAGAUACGGCCCAGACUCCUACGGGAGGCAGCAGUGGGGAAUAUUGCACAAUGGGCGCAAGCCUGAUGCAGCGACGCCGCGUGAGGGAUGACGGCCUUCGGGUUGUAAACCUCUUUCAGUAGGGACGAAGCGCAAGUGACGGUACCUAUAGAAGAAGCACCGGCCAACUACGUG
rnacentral:rRNA from 1 species